GCCUAACACAUGCAAGUCGAACGCAGUAGCAAUACUGAGUGGCAAACGGGUGAGUAUAAUGUGGGAAUCUGCCUUUUGGUUCGGAAUAACACGAGGAAACUUGUGCUAAUACCGGAUAAGCCCUUACGGGGAAAGUUUUAAUGCCAAAAGAUGAGCCCGCACUUGAUUAGCUAGUUGGUAAGGUAAUGGCUUACCAAGGCAACGAUCAAUAGCUGUUCUUAGAGGAAGACCAGCCACAUUGGGACUGAGACACGGCCCAAACUCCUACGGGAGGCAGCAGUGGGGAAUCUUGCACAAUGGGGGAAACCCUGAUGCAGCGAUGCCGCGUGAGUGAAGAAGGCCCUCGGGUUGUAAAACUCUUUCGUCGGGGAAGAAAAUGACUGUACCCGAAUAAGAAGGUCCGGCUAACUUCGUGCCAGCAGCCGCGGUAAUACGAAGGGACCUAGCGUAGUUCGGAAUUACUGGGCUUUAAGAGUUCGUAGGUGGUUAAAAAAGUUGAUGGUGAAAUCCCAAGGCUCAACCUUGGAACUGCCAUCAAAACUUUUUAGCUAGAGUGUGAUAGAGGAAAGUGGAAUUUCUAGUGUAGAGGUGAAAUUCGUACAUAUUAGAAAGAACAUCAAAAGCGAAGGCUACUUUCUGGAUCAUUACUGACACUGAGGAACGA
rnacentral:rRNA from 1 species